rnacentral:rRNA from 1 species
AACGAACGCUGGCGGCGCGCCUAAUACAUGCAAGUCGAGCGAGAAGACGUAGCAAUACGUUUGUAAAGCGGCGAACGGGUGAGGAAUACAUGGGUAACCUACCCUCGAGUGGGGAAUAACUAGCCGAAAGGUUAGCUAAUACCGCGUACGCUCCUUGGACUUCGGUUCAGGGAGGAAAGCGAUACCGUGGGUAUCGCGCUCUUGGAUGGGCUCAUGUCCUAUCAGCUUGUUGGUGAGGAACGGCUCACCAAGGCUUCGACGGGUAGCUGGUCUGAGAGGACGAUCAGCCACACUGGCACUGCGACACGGGCCAGACUCCUACGGGGAGCAGCAGUAAGGAAUAUUGCGCAAUGGGCAAAGCCUGACGCAGCGACGCCGCGUGGGGGAUGAAGGUCUUCGGAUUGUAAA